CGUGUCUUCCUCCUCUGCAGACCCUGAGCUCCUGACCAAGCCUGCAACCCUGAAUCCAUCCUGCACCCAGCAUCUCGGCUCUGCCAGAUGAGGAAACUGAGGCUCAGAGAGCUACGCCAGUUCCUAAAGGAGAAGAGUGAGAAAAGACAGUGCACGUGGAGAGAAUCGUGUACAAAUAGCACAAGGACACGAGGGUGACUUGUGAGUUGGGGAAAGGUUGGGUGUGGCUAGAACGGGGUCAGUGCCCAUCAUGGGUGAGGCCAGGAGGCGGGCCUGAGGAGCUGGCCUCAGGCAGGGGCUGGAUGCCCAGGAGUGGCACAAGCAGAGAGCGUCUUAGGAAGACGGGAUGCAGCAGAAGCGUGAAGGGUGGACGGGGCUGCAGGGCAGCGGGCGGAAUGGGCCCCGCUUCCUUGGUGGUCAGCCCGGCCUGGGCGUUUCGAGGCCCAUGGAGGAAGUCACGAGUGCUCGGAAGUGUCCGUCUCGAGCACCCCGGGGGCCUGGCGCUCUCACUUUCUCCUCCUUACUCCUGGGUACCACUGACACACUGUACAUGAUUUAUCUGGGUUUCACCCCUCCUGACCCCGCCCCCACCCACUCCCAAAAAUGUGGAUUCCGUGAGGGCAGGGACUCCACCUGUGUUCCCGGCUGAGUCCCAGUGCCUGGUAGCACGCCUGGUUCAACAAAAGUAUGAGGAAUGAAUGUUCAUUCAUUCAUGAGUAAAUGAAUUUGCCUUGUUUGUAUUUGGGAAGACAGAGAGGGAAAUCCAUUUGUGGAGGAAGAGAAGCAGCUGUGUGGGACCUCUCAAGACCCCUCAGCCCCCAGCAGGUGAUGGAUGCCGACUGACUUAAAAGGCAUCAGAACGUAGCAAGUGGGUUUGACUGUUUUUCGUCCUCCGAGGCUCCUGCUCUCCAGCUGGACCUGGCAGGGCCAGGGGUGCCGCACACGCACCUUUCACCACCCAAGAGGCAGCAGGGAUGGUGAGCGAGAGGGCGAGAGGCACAGGAAUCAGCCCCCUGCUGCCAACCCCCGCUGCUGACCCCUGGCAGAAUUCCCUCCUCCCCAGACUGCAGUCACCAGGUCAGCCUCCAGGGGGACACUCCCACUGGACAGACGAGAGAGGGUGGGGACCUCUGCCCUCUGGUUGUCCUGUGUCCUUCUGGGAUGGGCAGCCGUCACAGACACACAGACCUGCCUGUCUAUCUCUGGACACACAGCGGGGUGGGAGGCAGGUUUGUCCCAGCCUCAGGUCUGUGCUCUCCAGAGCCCAGCGCAGAGCCUGACACAUGGUAGGUGGUCAACAAAUACUUUCGAAGGAAUGAACGAAUGCUACCCUGAAACUUCGACUGCCAGGUAACAACAAUAACGUUCAUUAAGAAUCGUGACAGUAGUGACCCCACGAUGGUGAAGCCUGGGAGUGUCCUGGCGCACCGGAGGGUGAGUGCCUCUGAGCCAGCCGCAACUCUCUCACUGAGGGCCUCAGUCCAGACCCAUCCUACAAGGGGGGACCGCAGCUCCGAGGGUCACUGCCAGCCCAGGAGGGGAAGCAGAACAUUCUGAGGCCUGGUCCAGCGUCUCAUCACCCAGAGGAGUCUCUGAUCCGGGCUGUGGCUGGCGGUGGGGACGGACUGUUGGGUGAUGAGGCCUCUGGGGAGAUGUGACCUCACCUAAGGGUGGGGUGAAAGGCUGCUCAGUUGGGACAUAAAAGCCAAGCACAAAAACCAAGAGCUCCUGGCAUUCCCCGGUGGGUGGGCCUCAGGGUGUGAGCACUCGCUAAGGCAUACCAUUGUUUCCUUUUAAAAAUGCCAGGGCAAACAGCACUCCCAGAUCCUUGUCCCUUGGCCUAUUGACCAACAGCACGGCCAGCAAGGACAUCAGGCGAGGGCUGGCUCUGCCGCUCCCACUAGUGGGGCCAGUGAAGAUGGACGCCUGGUGGAGGGCCCUGCCGGGGCCCUGGACAGUCCUGCCCUUCCAGGUCACAGGGCCCAGCUCUGCCCAGAAGUCUUUAUUUUUUUUUAAUCAAAUUUUUUUUUUUUUAAAGAUUGGCACCUGAGCUAACAGCUGUUGCCAAUCUUCUUUUGUUCUUUCUUUUUUUCUCUUUCUGCUUUUUCUCCCCAAAUCACCCCAGUACAUAGUUGUAUAUUUUAGUUGUGGGUCCUUCUAGUUGUGGUAUAUGGGAUGCCACCUCAACGUGGCCUGAUGAGUGGUGCCAUGUCCGCACCCAGGAGCUGAACCAGCAAAACCCUGGGCCACCGUAGUGGAACGCACAAACUUAACCACUCGGCCAUGGGGCUGGCCCCCUGCCCAGAAGUCUUGUCAUCACUCUGGUCCUCUUGGCCUCCCCUGGGAGACCCUAAGCUCUGUCAAGCAGAGCCGGGAUCAUCCAUGGGUUCCUGUGUCUCUGUGCCCACAGCACUUCACCCUCACUGAGAGAGGGAGAGAGAGGAGAUGACAGUCACCUGGUCCCGGGGUGAGGAUUUGGUGUGUGUUUGGUUUAGACAGUGAAAGGCCCUCUCCUGGGCUUGCCUCCUAACCCCCUGCAAGCUUGGCUGGGGGUGGGAGUGAGGCGCUGUGGGAGGUUGUGCUUGGCUGGAGACGGCCCUGAUGCAGUCCACUGGGAAUGGCAGGCAGCCCUCAGACAGCAGAGUCUGGGGUACCCACAGAAGAAAGGCUGGACCGGUCCAAUCCAAGGGCUAACCGGGUCGCUGUGGGGUCAAAGGUGGAGAAGUCCCCAACCGAGGUGUCACGAGGGGUCCCUGUAUGCAGAGGGAAGGGGCAGGAGCCAUGCAGAGAAAGAGAAGCAGAGACACUGAUAGAGGGGCGGCAGGGCCCAGGAGGGAGAGUGAUGCGGAGGGAGGGGGAAAGGGACCACGGCAGCCUCAGCAGCCUGGCUUCUGGAGGCUCCCAGUCUCGUCUGCACCAUUGUCCCCCUUUUCCUGCAGCAAAUAGCUGCAUCUCUGUCCUGAAAACCAAAACGGCCUAGCCAGCACGCACCCACCCCGUCCACGGCGGUAUGGAUUCGCUCUGCACUCAGGGCCCCUGUGGCCCCGGCAGACGGGGCUCCGGGCUCCUCCUCCCACCUCCCGCACGGACCUGCCUCUCAGCCGGCUGCUGGGAGGCCUUCCGGGAGGAGGACACGGCUGCCUCCCACCCGGGCCCCGGGUUUUGUGAUUCUCAGCAUUAUUAACACUUGGUAAUUUAAAAAUCAGAUUCAUGCCCCAGAACUCACAUCACCCUCAGAGCAGCUGCUGCAGGAGGUACCUUGUGCUUGAGUCUGUAAGCUCCGAGGGCUGAGGACCUGUUUUCAGCCACAUCCCAGGGCCCACCACAGCUUGUGGGAAUGAAGGGAUGAGUGACUGGAUGACAGAAACAGCUACUUCACUUACUAUCCACUGGGCACCGUUCUCACUGCUGUUCCCGCAUUAUCUCAUCUAACCUUCACAGCCGCCCAGCGGAGGGGCACUGCUAUGGUGCCCACUUUACAGAUGGAAAACCGAGGCUCAGAGAGGUGAAACGGUUUGCCCAAGGUCACUCAGGCAGUAGGGGACAGAUCUUACCUCUGGGAUUCUUCCACCCUCAACAGCUCUUCCUACUGGAAAGGCUCAGGGUGAGGUUUCCUGCGGCUUGAGGGGCUCUGGGGAUGUCCCACCAUCCGAGAUGUCUGUGCACCCGGGACUUGGGCUGUUCGCACCCUCCCCAUCCCAGGCUCCCCUUGUUGAAUGAGGUUUUGCCCUUCGUGCUCCGACCCUUCUGGGCUAAAGGAAACAGUAAGCCCUUCACACCUGAGCUUGAGUUAGUUACGAACAGCUCUCGCACCUGGUGCGAGAGGUCCCCUCUGCAGGUCCUCUCUGCAGCCCUGUGCCUGCUGUCACAUCUGCCAUCCGUGUAACACGAUCUCCCCGCCCUUCACGAGGGCCCACGUAAGUAAGGCUCCAAACUGGGAGCUGGGGCCACGCAGAGGACCAGCCACAGACCAGCUUACAGCAGCUCCGUGCAGGCAGCUGCUGCAGAGAGCAGGGUGCACGCAGGAGAGAGGCCCCCAGGGGCUCCACAGAGUGCCAGCACUUUGCCCAGGGGGUGGGGAUCAGAGCUGCCUUUGUGGCAUAAGUGAACAAGUGGAUGAUGACUCAGCCAUCAGGCGAGUUAGUCAAUAUUGUGUCCCUCGCCAGCUGGGGACCCUGGGGAGAGCUUCAGCUAGGACGGAUUGAAUUGCCUGGCAUUUGGAGAGUCUAUGCUCAGAUAACCUUCCUCAGAUCCUCCUUUGGGCCAAGGUCCAGCAUCCAGCCAGCCUCCGAACCAGGAGAAAAAGUCCUUCCUCGGCUCACCUACAUCUGCUCUGGCCCAAGCAGGGCAGAGGUGAGAGGACAAGAAUUCCUUCCACCUUCCUGUCUCAAGGAGCAUCCUCUGCAGGACCCAUCCAUUCAUCACCACAGCCCUGAGAGGUUGCAGCCUGCACCUCCAUCCCCAUCUGGCAGUUGGGGAAACUGAAGCUGAGGUCAUCACAAGACCUGUAUCAGAGCUGAGAGCAGCGCUCAGAGCUCCUGACCCCCCAUGGCAACCACCCCCCAUCCACCACUGACUCCCUGGAAAAAAGCAGAAGGAACAGCUGGAGAGGAUGUCCAGAGCCUAGCUCAACAGUGAGCCCCCGGCCCCCUUGGUGCCGCAUGGUGGGCAAAGCCUAUCCAGAGAAGCUCAGGGAAGAGGGGCUGCCUUGCCUCCCAUGAGACCCCCGGAGUCGGGUUUGAGUGUUGGCACGGGCGCCAACCAGCAAAAGGAAGUCGAGCAAGUCACUCAACGCUUCACUCUACACCCUUGGGAGCACACGUGCACACCUACGCCCACACACUCACACUGAGUGUACACACACAGCCCUGCCCUCCACCUGCGCUCCCCGAGUGCCCUGCGUAUGUGAGUGAGCGAGCAAGCAAAGGGGGGCGCCUGAGGCUCUGGAGUCCCCCCAGAGACCCCCGCUCUUGGCUCGGCACCAGCUGCAGCCUUAUGUACAGGCAGCUGCCUCUGGGGAAUGAUCUGAAAGCUCCAGAAGCAGCCUAGCCCUCAGCAGCAUCCUCCGCUCUCAGCCUGCCUGCACAGGCCUCCCCGAGACCCUGCUGAGACCCAGGAUGGAAGGGACCCCAGCAGGCGAGCCCCACACUGUGCUAAAUAAUUUACACACACCUGCCAUUGUGUCCUCCCAACAACCCCACAGACAGGUGUCAUUUGUAGUUCACCGCCCGCUGGUUAGAGAUGAGAAAACCCGGGCUCGGGAAGGUGGAGGCCGCUGUUUGGGCCCCAAAUGGAGAGUGGCAGGGCCAGCACUCCACCCCGCUGUCUUGGGUCUUCCCCAUCAGACCAAGAGGAGAGCCCAGGGACCAGGUCCUUUGGGGACUCCAGCCUGGGUCAGAAUAGAGGAGCCCCAAGAGGGCACAGGUGGAGCUCAAGAGGUGAAAGGGAAAGGAACCCCAAGUUAUGACUGUGGGGGCAACCCUAAAGGAAGCUUCUAGAUUUGCAAUUCAGCCAUGGCUGUCCCGCCGCUCUUUAAAGCUAUACAACCUAGAGGUGGCCAGAGCUGGGCUGUCACCAGAUAUGUGCACACACACACAUGCCUGGGUGUAUGCGCACACACACACACGCACAGGCAUAUGCACACACCAGCUGCGUGCACACACACACACACACACACGGGCGUAUGCACACGUACACACAUGUGCCCAGGGCAAGAGCAACUGUGAAGAAAGAAAAGUCUGUGAGCUGGGAGGCGGGGGAGGGUUCUGGUGCAGAAACCUGGGUGACGCCUGUGGACGGACACUGCUGCCCGGGCAUGCACCCUGCACCCCAUCCUCAACCUCCGCAGACAGCUCGUGUCCAUCAGCAAACUCUCGAGAGGCCGCCUCGAGCCGGACCCUGACGGCCUGCGCCAGCUCAUCAUCCUGACCGCAUUUCAGUUCACUGGUUUCCAAGGUGGUUGAACAACCUCCCGAGGUGACGCGGAGCUGGUACUUGCACCGGGCCCUAUCUGGCCCCCACUCUGGGCACUCAGGGCGGAGUCUGGGCAGGUUCUGUCCAGGCGCAGGGAGGAAGGGGGAAGACUCUCUGGAGCCAAGUCGCAUCCCCAGAAGGAAGUAGCAAGAACAGCGUGCAGGCUGCACACACCAGGGGCGCCUCUGCAGAAAGAAUGUUCUCACUAAGGUGGGUCCUGGAGAAGUGCAAGGCCCAGGGUAGGCCCCCUGGAGGGGCUGGUGUCCUUUCAGCCCAGGACCUGUCGCCUGAGGAGGCCUGACACCAGCAGCUGGAGCCAUAGAGCAACUGGGGCCGUGACUCUUGUGUUGGGGAUGCGGGUGGAGGUGACAAUAGAUCAGAGGUCACACAAUGAAGACCUAAAGGCUGAAGUUGACCCUCAGCUCUGUUUUCUUUGGCCAAUACAAUGCUGGACCACAAAUGGCCUUUAAAAAAUCAAACUAACUGCCAACAUUUAAAAAUCAUGAGAUUGUUGAAAAUCUAACAAUCCUAUGAGGCACUAAUCUGUUGCAGGCGAGUAGCAGUUGCCCACUACAGAGAUCUACACAGCUCACCACAGUCCCCACCACUCCCUAUUGCCCACACCUGGCUUCUGUGCUCAUCCUGCCAGUCCCUGUGUGUCUGUGAUUUUGCCAGACCUUGACUGAGUGAGGUGCCUUCUAGCUCUCAGAUGCCAGUUCUCAGGCAAGCAGACCUAUUUCCAACAUGUGCCCAAUGUGCCUGGCCCUGUGGUGAGCCCUGGGGGUAGAAGACGUGCAAAGUGAUGGGACCCUGUGUGCAAGUGACUUUCCCCCUCGUGGGCAAACUGAGAAAUCAAACUAAAUGAGAAGGUCCAUCUCAGCACUCAGAUUCUGGAAUUCUGUGAAUAGAUGGGAAGCAGAAAAGAGGAAGGGAGGAAAGAGGGAAAGAAGGAAGUAGAGACAGAGGGAAGAGGGAAGCUGGAGGCUUGGUGGUGACAGUAAGGUGGCAAAUACGGCUGCCUUUGUAGUAUUUCAUGGUACCUUUGACUGUUAAGUGUGUGUGGAUAUGAGUGCAUCAUCUAGCUAGCGAUGUGUAACAAAAUGCCCCAAAACUUAGAGAGGCUUAGAACAACACCACUCACCCAGCUCCACAUGGUGUGGGCCAGGAGUCUAGGCUGCUCUUAGCUGGGAGGUCCUCUGGCCUUGGCAGGUGCAGGCUGCUCUUGGCUGGGUUGUUCAUGCAUCAGUGAUGGGUCACCUGGGGGUCGGCUGGUCUAGGAUGUCGUCUCUCACUUGUCCGGGGUUGGCUGGUGGUCAGCCAGGGCCAUGACGAGGACUGAGCCAGCAGGCCCGCUGGGCAGGGCACAAGAACGCAAGCAAAAGCCUGCAAGACUUCUUGAGAUCUCAGCUCGGAACUGUUUCAUCAUCACUUCUGCCACAUUCUGUUCACCAAAGCAAGUCACAAGGCCAGCACAGGUUCAAAGAGUGAGGAAAGCAACGCCAUCUCUGAUGGGGGAGCUGCAAGGUCACGUGGCAUUGUACAGGAAGGAGUGGACGAUACAGCCGAUUUUGUUAUCAAUCUCCCACAAACAGGAAACACAUAUAAGUGGCUGAAACAAGAUAGAGGUUUAUUUUUCUCUCCUAAAGAAGUCCCAAGGUGGCUAUCCAGAAGGGUUAGGGCAGCUCCUCAAGGUCCUCAGGGACUCAGACUUCUUCCCUCUUUCUGCUCUGCCACCUCAAUGUAGCUUCUACCCUUAAGGUUGCCGUGUGUUCCAAAAUAGCCGUUGGAGCUCCAGCCAUCAAGUCUUCAUUCCAGCAAGAAGCAGAAAGCAUUGGGGUGGAGAAGAGAGGCAAUGCACUAAAGAGUGUACCUUCCAGCUGAGUCAGCCGCACCCAACAAAUCUGCUCAUGUUCCUUAGUCAACCCUAACUGCAAAGGGGGAUGGGAGAUGUGGCCCCUGAGUUAGGAACUUUGCCACCUGGAGCAAAAUCCGGUUUCUGUUAGAAAAGAACACAUGGAGAACAAAUAUCGGGUACGAAACCAGCAGCGUCUGCCGAAGGGAAGGUGGGUAGAGAGGAAGAUGAGGGAGACGUUCUGAAAGGACUUAGGGCCACUCACCUCCCCUUCUCGGCAUUUUAACCAAGGCCUGAAGAAUAUCUAGAGAGCAG
rnacentral:lncRNA from 1 species